rnacentral:ncRNA from 2 species
UUCAAGUAACCCAGGAUAGGCU